UUUGUUUGCACAACAUAGCAAUAUUUUGUCUACAGUUGUCAUUGACGUGGAUGACAAUAACAACACAACGUCAGAAACUCAGGUUCUCUAACAGGAUGGCCUUCAGUUAGUCACCAGUAGCUCCAACACUGACUGCUUGGUUCAUAAUGGCAACGCGUAGAUCCUCUGACCCUGAACCGCGGGCAGCUAAAAAAUUUAUCUCGUGGAUUUGAGGCCUGCAUGGAGGCCUCGCUGCAUCUGUUUUCCCUUGUGUUUCCAGAACAUAUAACACGAUAUACCUUGAUAUUACAGUAUUGCCUAAUACUAUUUUAGACACACUGUGAUUUUCUAACAACAAAGAAUAUCACAUUUGAUUUAAAUUAACCUUAUUUCCAUUUAUUGAUGGCUCCCUGCUUGUAGUAGUUCCCUCAGCUCGUUGGCUAACAGCAAAGUGAACUGUCGCUCUGGUCACCUUUUGAAACGUCUAUGAUUGGUUAUUUUUUCAUAUGCUAACUUAUUUGUUGAGCUCAGCUGGUUAUCUACAAUCUAUUUUUUUUCUUAAAUAUAAUUUUACGGUUUGACUUGUGAUUUAUGCUCUGAAAACGGGUCACUGUGAACGGUGGGUUAGCAAGCUAGCAGCAAAAUGACUUAGUAGGUAGCUCAGUGGCUAACUGGUUAAAAUCUGUAGUGCUUGUAGGUUCUCAUUAGUUAUGUUCUGUGUGCCAAAACAAACGCAUAGCAACUGUAGUACUCACUUCUUAUACUUCUCCAAUUCGGUUAAGCACUCCAUCUUGUAGGACAAUGAUGGCAACCUCUUUCACUUGAUUUUUCCUAAACAUCCAGCAGAACCCAGACGUCAAAUCCACACGGGGCAACAAACUGCUCUCGAAAACACAAUUCGCCUGGUGCUAGAUAGCAUACAGCUAGAUCCAAAUGCUUGCAUUUAAUGCUCGGUCCACGGCGGUCAAAUAAAUAGUCAUUAGACGACUCCUCUGUACUGUUUUAUCAGUACGAAGCAGGCUGUGGUAGGCACCAUCCUUUUUGUUCCAUGGUGUAGUAGGGCAGCCUCAGAUGAUCUGGUGGAGUCGAUAUGCGAUGCACCGGUUGCGGCUCCUCCUCUCUCUGCGAGCCACAGAUCAUGCCGUGAAGAAGGAGGUCGACAUGCGCUGCACUGUCCAGAGGGACUGAUGACGAACCGACCGUUUUGUGGUCUUUGUUAUGCUACGAAAUUUUCCAUAGCAAGAAAAAGCGGAAUAAAACUGUUUCAUGCCAAAGGUAGCGCGCGACGGAGGCAGCUAAAGGCUAUUUUGUAACGCAUUUGGUCAGACAACAUGGAAACCGGAUUGGCCUUCAGUGGUGUGGGAUCCCCACCAAGAAGUCAAUUCAAAAAUGAUAUGGGAUUAAACUGGAAAUAUGAAAAUCGGAAGAAUUCGUAAAAUGGACAGUUUGUGUAUGGCAAGCCGUUUUAACAUUUAUUCUUAUAAAAACUAACUUGUAUCUAUUUUAAUGUUAUUAGUCUUAGUAGUAGGCUAAGUAAUCCAGUAGUGGCCUAUCUGUUAAUUUCACUAGAAACUAUUCAUGAGACAUUUAUUUCUUUUGCUACUAGUCACUUUCCCAAUAGUGACAGACGACUAUUCAGUUUUGAUCAUAAAUAACAAACUGCACAUUUUUGCCAUUGUAGUAAAUGUUGCUGUUCCACUUGUUCCACUUUAUAGCAAUUAUUAUUUUUAGGUACUUAUGCAACUCCUGUUAGUAUAGACAGUAUCUCUGCCGCUCAUGUGGAAGACUGGGAGAGCUAGUUCUGGGGAAGUUGUGGCCUAAUAGUUAGAGAGUUUGAUUCCUAACUCUAAGGUUGUGGGUUUGAGUCAUGGGCCGGCAAUACCACGACUGAGGUGCCCUUGAGCAAGGCACCAAACCCAACUGCUC
rnacentral:lncRNA from 1 species